rnacentral:tRNA from 1 species
GACUCCGUAGCUCAGUUGGUAGAGCAAAUGACUCUUAAUCAUUGGGUCGUGGGUUCGAGCCCCACCGGGGUCA